GGAGGAGGAGGAGGAGGAGGAGGAAAGAAAGAGGAAGGCUGUACAUAAAUCGUCCUUGGAUCCUCAUUCUGGCAUGAAAAUAAUCCAGAGUAGUCAAAAACUAUGCCAGUGGAACAGAAGUAUUGGCAGGCCCUGUCAAACUGGAAGGGCUUCAAUUAUAGGCUUGGCAAUGGACUGCAUAACUGUAAUUGGAGGGUCAGCCUAGAAGAGUUCAGAUAGACUCAACAUCAGUUCAGUUGCAGGACGAUGACUUUGGGGGUCAUAGCAACUCACGAAGACUGAUUGCCAAGUUGUAAGCAGGCCGUGAGAUGUCCAAGGAAGAUAUGCACCUUUCUCCUCUUUGCUUGGAUCUUUACAUGCUUUCAGAUUUGAUCAAGAAACUGGAAAUAAAAGGGAAGGAAAACUUCUAAGAUAUAACUAUUAAUCCAGAUGUCAUAGAGAAAAGUAAGUCCUCAAGAGAAGGAAGAACAGCAGUGGAAAUGCCCAGUAAUGUAAAAAAGAAAAUGGACUCAGCUAUGUAUACCCAGAUGUGCAUUGAAUUUGUAGAACUAAAAGGAAUUAGAGGUCCUAGACAAAAAGCUGAUUACACACCAUGGGUAGAUCUAAGAGCUGGUAAGGUGCAACCUACUCCUGGAAUAUGGCAAUGGAAUGAUAUAUUUUAUCCAAAAGGAACAAAUUAGGAUACAAAGGGACGAAAAGCUUAAGCAUAUGCAGGCGGCUACAAACAGUGUGCAGCUUUCAGGUGUAUGAUCAUGGAGACACAGGAUGGAUAAAGAAGUCUAGCCAAUUCAAAUA